GUAGUACUCCCUCCGUUCCGAAUUACUUGUCGCACGUAUGGAUGUAUCUAGAUGUAUUUUAGUUCUAGAUACAUCCAUUUCAGCGACGAGUAAUUUGGGACGAAAGGAGUAGUAA
rnacentral:pre_miRNA from 1 species